GGGCGUUUAGCUCAGCUGGUUCAGAGCAUCUGCCUUACAAGCAGAGGGUCACAGGUUCGAAUCCUGUAACGCCCA
rnacentral:tRNA from 1 species